GGCAAUUUGACAGCAAUCCAACUGACUACAGACAUCACUUAAAUAUAAGAAUACAUUAGAGCUAUAGUAUAGAGGUGUCAGUUUAGUUUUAGAUUAUAGAUCCAUAAAGCUGGGAAUAUGGCUCAUCCCCAGUGCCCUCUCAUCGCUAUCAUCUCACUGGGAAUUUACCUGCUGUUUUCCAGCUACUGUUAUCAAUGCAAUAAACCCUGUCGGCCACACCAGCUGUUCAAAGCUGCUUUUUGCGGCCUGCCAGGCUUUAUCUGUGGUUGUCGUCUUCUCUGUCACAGAGGGCUCCAGACUCCCGUGGAGACGUGUUCAGUCUCUAUUCCGUUCCUCUAACAAGGCUUUGCUGCCUUUGCUGCAAAUGUGCAGACAUUCAGGACUCCCUUGGCCUGUUCAUUUAUUUCAGCAUUCGUAUGAAAAGUUACACACGCCACACAUCUCUGCCAUCCUUCAGUUUAUGCCUGACUCUAUCCUGGAGAAAGGAUUUAUUUAUUUUCCCAUGGGCAGCCCUAUUUUUUGGAAGAUAACCUCGUACUUGACAGAACACUUCAAGGAGCUCACGAUCCCAAGAGACAAGCCAACAAAUAAAUACACAGGCACGUGGAUGCUUUUUCCAGGUCGUAUUUAUAAUUUCUGUUUUUCCUUUAUUUGUAAGAUACUAAGGCUGCAGCAAAAAUAUUAUAAAUAAAUAUAACAAAGA
rnacentral:lncRNA from 1 species